ensembl:lncRNA
UGUGGGUUGUGGGUGAUUGUCUAUGUUAUGUUGCUUGUUAGCACAGUGUUUCAUUAGUGCCACGGUUGUCACGUUGGUUUGUUUUUUCGAACACUUACCACGCCGCAUCUGGGUCCGAUCCUUACUCCUCUUCAGACGAAGAGGAGGACAUCUGCCGUGACACGCCUUUGAAAUGACUGGCAUUUGGGGGAGCAAGAAAUGCAAACUUAAAUUUGAUUGAUCCAAUGAUGUACAAGUACAUCAUCAAUGAACACAACCACUGGACUGUGACGGUUGUGCUGCCAUCUCAAGAGGGCUCUGUUUCUCGACCCAAUGGGGGAAAGGGCCAGAAAGAUACAAAGAUGCCAGGAGUUGACAAGAUCAUUCCUGAGAGAGAAGGGGUGUAAUAUCUCCAGAUGGGCGUGUGGUACCCUUCCUCACCCAUGCCAACAAGAUGUUACUUCUUGUGGGGUCUCUGCCUUGAAAACAAUGACCCAACACACCUCCAGGCUGUGUAAGGACUAUUUGACCAAGAAGGAUGGCGUGAUGGCGUGCUGCAUCAGAUGACCUGGCCUCCACAGCUGGUUGAGAGAAGGCCAAGAGUGUGCAAAGCUGUUCCAAGGCAAAGGGUGGCUACUUUGAAGAACCUCAAGUAUAAAAUAUAUUUUGAUUUGUUUAACCCUUUUUUGGUUACUACAUAAUUCCAUGUGUUAUUUCAUUGUUUUGAUGUCUUUACUAUUAUUCGACAGUGUAGAAAAUAGAUUAUUUAAAAAAAUCCUUGAAUGAGUAGGUGUGUCCAAAUGUUUUACUAGUACUGUAUUUAAAUGUAUCAGGGGGUAGCGCAGCACCCUUCACGGAGCUAUGAUUAUACUUGGAAAACUAAUGGCCAUAUUAAAUUGUUAAAACAAAGAAAUAAAGUGCAACGCUGGAGAGAUGAGGGUUGUAGGCUCCUGUCUAUCAGAGCAGAGAGGGGGAGAGAUGAGUUGUAGGCUCCUGUCUAUCAGAGCAGAGAGGGGGAGAGAUGAGAGUUGUAGGCUCCUGUCUAUCAGAGCAGAGAGGGGAGAGAUGAGAGUUGUAGGCUCCUGUCUAUCAGAGCAGAGAGGGGGAGAGAUGAGGGUUGUAGGCUCCUGUCUAUCAGAGCAGAGAGGGGGAGAGAUGAGAGUUGUAGGCUCCUGUCUAUCAGAGCAGAGAGGGGGAGAGAUGAGGGUUGUAGGCUG